rnacentral:rRNA from 1 species
CCUACGGGCGGCUGCAGUGGGGAAUAUUGGGCAAUGGGCGCAAGCCUGACCCAGCAACGCCGCGUGAAGGAAGAAGGCUUUCGGGUUGUAAACUUCUUUUCUGAGGGACGAAGAAAGUGACGGUACCUCAGGAAUAAGCCACGGCUAACUACGUGCCAGCAGCCGCGGGAAUACGUAGGUGGCAAGCGUUAUCCGGAUUUAUUGGGUGUAAAGGGCGUGUAGGCGGGAAAGCAAGUCAGAUGUGAAAACUCAGGGCUCAACCCUGAGCCUGCAUUUGAAACUGGUUUUCUUGAGUGCUGGAGAGGCAAUGGGAAUGCCGUGGGGAGCGGUGAAAUGCGUCGAUAUACGGAGGAAGACGAGUGGCGAAGGCGGAUUGCUGAACAGUAACUGACGCUGAGGCGCGAAAGCGUGGGGAGCAAACAGGAUUAGAGACCCCAGUAGUA